ACGUAGGGAGCGAGCGUUGUCCGAAUUUACUGGGCGUAAAGCGCGCGUAGGCGGGCUAUUAAGUUGGGGGUGAAAUGCCGAGGCUUAACCUCGGAACUGCCUCCAAAACCGGUAGCCUUGAGGUAUGGAGAGGGAAGUGGAAUUCCAGGUGUAGCGGUGAAAUGCGUAGAUAUCUGGAGGAACACCCGUGGCGAAGGCGGCUUUCUGGACGAUGUCUGACACUGAGGCGCGAAAGCCAGGGGAGCGAACGG
rnacentral:rRNA from 1 species